CCUACGGGAGGCAGCAGUGGGGAAUAUUGCACAAUGGGGAAACCCCGAUGCAGCGACGCCGCGGGAGUGAAGGAGUAUUUCGGUACGUAAAGCCUUAUCAGGAGGGGAGGAAAUGACAGUACCUGAGUAAGAAGCCCCGGCUAACUACGUGCCAGCAGCCGCGGGAAUACGUAGGGGCCAAGCGUUACGCGGAUUUACUGGGUGUAAAGGGAGCGUAGGCGGGGCGCCAGGUCUGGAGUUAAAGGCCUGGGCUUAACUGCGGAACUGCCUUGGAAACUGGCGGACUGGAGAGCGGGAGGGGUAAGCGGAAUGCCUAGUGUAGCGGUGAAAUGCGUAGAUAUUAGGAGGAACACCGGUGGCGAAGGCGGCUUACUGGCCCGUAACUGACGUUGAGGCUCGAAAGCGUGGGGAGCAAACAGGAUUAGAUACCCGUGUAGUC
rnacentral:rRNA from 1 species